rfam:Citrus sinensis cultivar Ridge Pineapple sweet orange scaffold00084_contig_57, whole genome shotgun sequence.
GAGCAUUUGGUCUAGUGGUAUGAUUCUCGAUUUGGGUGCGAGAGGUCCUGAGUUCAUUUCCUGGAAUGCCCC